CGCAAAACGCCUGGAAAAUUGGCAAGAAAAACGCACCGAAUUUGUGAUUGUGGCUAGCGGAGAAUCCGAUAAAAGUGAAGAACUCACAGAGAGCUGGAGUUCAACUCAAGUGAUUAUAAAUACUGAUAAAACGAAAGAAAAACUAAAGUGUCGUGUGGUAAAAACGCGAUUAAAACGUGCGCCGAAUCGUGGUCGUGCCGCGAUGUCAUUUUGUGCAACGCUCCGCAAAUUCUUAUAAGCGUUUUCGCUUAAUCGUUGUUGUCUUGUUGAAAUUCAGAUUGCAGCUCC